rfam:Azotobacter vinelandii DJ, complete genome.
GGAGGGGUUCCCGAGUGGCCAAAGGGAUCAGACUGUAAAUCUGACGUCUUCGACUUCGAAGGUUCGAAUCCUUCCCCCUCCA